rnacentral:rRNA from 1 species
CGCCUACGGGACGCAGCAGUGGGGAAUAUUGCACAAUGGGGGAAACCCUGAUGCAGCGACGCCGCGUGAGCGAUGAAGUAUUUCGGUAUGUAAAGCUCUAUCAGCAGGGAAGAAAAUGACGGUACCUGACUAAGAAGCCCCGGCUAACUACGUGCCAGCAGCCGCGGUAAUACGUAGGGGGCAAGCGUUAUCCGGAUUCACUGGGCGUAAAGGGAGCGCAGGCGGCACGGCAAGUCUGGUGUGAAAGCCCGGGGCCCAACCCCGGGACUGCAUUGGAAACUGCCGGGCUGGAGUGCCGGAGGGGG